GAUGAACGCUAGCUACAGGCUUAACACAUGCAAGUCGAGGGGCAGCAUGAACAAAGCUUGCUUUGUUUGAUGGCGACCGGCGCACGGGUGCGUAACACGUAUCCAAUCUGCCCGCGGCUCGGGGAUAGCCCAUCGAAAGAUGGAUUAAUACCCGAUGGCGUGGUCACCCCGCAUGGGGUUUCCACUAAAGGUUUUCCGGCCGCGGAUGAGGAUGCGUAUGAUUAGGUAGUAGGCGGGGUAACGGCCCACCUAGCCUUCGAUCAUUAGGGGUUCUGAGAGGAAGGUCCCCCACCCUGGAACUGAGACACGGUCCAGACUCCUACGGGAGGCAGCAGUGAGGAAUAUUGGUCAAUGGGCGAGAGCCUGAACCAGCCAAGUAGCGUGAAGGAAGACUGCCCUAUGGGUUGUAAACUUCUUUUGUUCGGGAAUAAAGUGCAGUAUGUAUACUGUUUUGUAUGUACCGUUCGAAUAAGCAUCGGCUAAUUCCGUGCCAGCCGCCGCGGUAAAAC
rnacentral:rRNA from 1 species